CACCCCAUGUUACAGAUGAAGCUCAGAGAGCCUCAGCAGCUCACGUGCCCCAAGUCUCAGAGAGAUGGGGCAGAGCAAGGAUUGAAACCCAAGCCAGUCUGGCCAGAGGACCCACGUGCUUUCCUCAACUCAGCAUGCCACCUCUGCCGGGUCACCACCCAUCAUCACAACCACUGUGUUCCCACCACUUACCCGCACUGCCGGGUCACCACCACUCACCAUGUCACCCGGUCAUCACUCCCCACUACUGCCUACGGGUCACUAGUGCUUUAUAAUCACAUUGACAGCCACUGGUGGAUUUCGGUCAUCAGUAUUUUCUAGGUAAUUGAUACAUUAGGUGUUCAGUUGCAAGACAUAUGCAAUUUCCACUGGAUAUUUUCUGGAGGAUCUGACAGAUCUAGACUCAACUCUAGAACCUUCCAAGAUAUGACAUAACCAUAUAGAAGGCUGAGCCUCCUGGAUGUCGGGAAUGCUGUGUCCUUAUCCUCCAGGUUUCCCUAUAGAUAAAUCCAUUUGUCUACAAAGUCAAGGAGGCAGGCAGGGGACAUUCACAUAGAACCUUUCAGGCUGCGGUAAGGAGUCUGGAUGUCAGUUUAAGACAGACUUUUGCACAGGAGGGGUGAUAUGAUCCGGACUUCCGAGAAAGGAAGCUUAGCGACAGCAGCCCAGAGUCCACUGCAGUGGCUCUGGCAAGAGAGGGUGGGCACCUUGGACUUGGGUGUGCUGGUAAGAAGGAAAGAAAUGGAUACACUCAGAAAUCAUUUCAGAGGCACAGGCAAACUAGACUUAAUGAAGAGCUGGAUGUGAGGAGUGAGGGUGAAGAGAAGAACCAAAGCUGACUCAUAGGAUUUUGUUUGGAAAAACUUGAAAAGCCAAGACAAGACAAGAAAGAGUGAGGUAAAAUCAGAUUUGGGGAAAUCUUGUGCUUUGCUUGAGAUGAAUCUGAUUUAGAGAUGCCUGUUAAAAUCAAAGUAGAAAAGACCAUGCAUUAUGUGUGUAUGGGCUCUGAACGGAUACAGAAAUUCAGGAGUCAGGAGCUCAGAGAUAGCACUUAAAAUAGCACGAGUGGAGGAGAUCACCAAAGAGGCAGUGUGCAGAGAGAAGAAAAGUGAGGUGGGAAAUGAACUCUGGACGCCGCAGGACUUAGAGAAGAGGCAACAGCUGUGGCCAUGAAGGCUAAGAAGGAGCAGGAGGAAAGCAAAGAGUGUGUGGUGUUCUGGAAGCAGAGAGAAUAAAGGGCAUCCGGAAGGAGGACUGUCAAUUGUGUCAAAUAAGAUGAAGACAGACCUGCCCACUGAAUUUGGUAGCAAUAAAUCACAGCACAUUGCCAUAUAAAUGGUUACAUCUAAGCUACCGAAAAGAAUAUUAUUUAUUCUCCAUAUAUGUAAUAAGUACCUACUAUGUGCCAGAUAGUCUUUCAGGGCAGUGGGGUAUAGAGAUUCAUAAGACAUGCUCUCUGCUCUCAAGGAGUUAACAGUAAUGAGGAAGAAAGAGGCAAUAACCAGUAUUUUCAUUGCUUUGUUAUCCCACUGAUCUUACAACAUUCUGGUGCUUCGGUUUGUGCCAUUUUGCCAUUUUACCAAUAAGGAAAGCGAAGCAGAGGGAGGUCAAGAUAUGCCUCAGAUAUUCAAUGACAAAGCCAAGGCUUGACUCUAACAUCAGACUUCCAAACGGGAAUUCCCAAACAUGAUUGGGAAAUGGCCAAGGACCAGGCAUCUUAGCACUAGGAGGACACUCAUCUGAAAUACAGAUGCACCUAGGAUAAGCCUGAUGCUUUCUUGUCCAGUCAGUGCAGACUCAGAUCAAGUGCCCACAGCCACCCACCCAAGAGUCUUAGAUAAAAAUGUCUAUACCUACACUGAUAAAGGUACCAAAAUAAUUCAGUGGGGGACAGGAAGUUCUUUUUUCUUUUCUUUUCUUUUCAAUAAAUAUUUCUGUGGCGCCUGGGUGGCUCAGUUGGUUAAGUGUCGGCUCAGGUCAUGAUCCCCAGGGUCCUGGGAUGGAGCAUAGUCAGCUCCCUGCUCAGUGGGAAGUCUGCAUCUCCCUCUGCCCCUCCCCCACCACAUGCGCGAACGUUCUCUCUCUCUCUCUCUGUCACUUGCACUCUCUCUCAAGUAAAUAAAUCAAAUCUUUAAAAAAAUGUUUCUGAAGCAACUAGAUAUUAUAUGGGAAAAAAAAUCCUGACAACUACCUCACACUACACACUAAAAUUAAUUCAAGUUGGAUCAUAAACCUAAGUGUAAAAACUAAAACUUUAUAGUUUAGUUUCUAGAAGAAAACAUGAGAAUGUCUCUGUGAUGUUGGGGGUGGGCAAAGAAUUCUCAGGACACAAAAAAAGCAGUAACCAUGAAAUUUAAAAAGAGGUAAAUGUGAGGGGGUGCCUGGCUGGCUCGGUCGGUAGAGCAUAUGACACUUGAUCUCAGGGUCUUGAGUUCAAGCCCCACAAUUGGGUAUAGAGAUUACUUAUAAAAAGUAUUUUUAAACCAAGAAAAUACACAAAAUACUUUGGGGCGCCUGGGUGGCUAAGUUGGUUAGGCAUCUGCCUUCGGCUCGGGUCAUGGUCCCAGGGUCCUGGGAUCGAGCCCCGAAUCAGGUGCCCUGUUCGGCGGGGAGCCUGCUUUUCCCUCUCCAGUUCCCUGUGCUUGUUUCCCUCUCUCUCUAUCUCUCUCUGUCAGAUAAAUAAAAUCUUAAAAAAAAUAAAUAAAAAAGAGGUAAAUGUGACUUCUGUUUAUUAAAAGGCAUCAUUACAAAAGAGCAAAGGCCAGCUAAAAACUGGGAGAACCUCUUCACUACACAUUUAGCUGACUGACAACUCAAAUCCAGAAUGUAGAAAUUUCUUCACUUAACCACCAGUGGUCUUGAUUGCAUGCCCCUACAUCAUGCUCUUCCAGCUUUGGGAAAGGCCCUCCUGCCUGAGGAGGGUGCCCCUGACUGGUGGAGAUGAUGAUGUUCCCUCAGCCAUGUUGAUCCCAAGAAGAUGAGGACUUUGGGAACAAAGAUUUUUGAAAAAUUAAAGCCAGUUCAUAGGUUCGUUUUUCUUUGCAAGUGGCAGCCAGGAGAAGAACCAGAGGUUCUGUGGUUCAGGACUCCAGACUUGCCCUGACAUUUUUUUGCCAGGAUUCUCCAGAGACACAGGACCAAUAAUUGUGUGUGUGUGUACAGGUGCGUGCGUGCGUACGUGCGUGUGAAGAGACUUAUUUUGAGGAAUUGGCUCAUGUGCUUACGGAGGCUGGUAGGGUGGGUUGGCAUCUCCUGGCUGGAGAUCCAGAAAAAAGGCAAGCAGUCCGCUGGCAGAAUUCCUUCUUGUUCCAGGCAGAUGUGUCUUUUGUUCUACUUAGACCUUUAACUGAUGGGAUAAGGGCCACCUACAUUAUGGAGGGCAAUCUGCAAUACUCAAAGUCCACCCACGAAAAUGUAAAUAUUAUCUAAAAACGCCCUUACAGAAACAUCCAGAAUAAGGUUGGAGCAGAUAUUUAGGUACUGUGGCCCAACCAAAUUGACACAAAACUAACCACUGCCCCAAGUGUGCUACUGAAUUCUACCCACCUAGUGGAGACAUGAUCAGAGACUGACGGAUUCUCACAGAGUUUGGAUGCAGCUAUGACAAGCCCACAACAUUACUGCCAGGCAGGAAAUGGGUCGGAAGUUGAGGCAGGAAAUAAGAAAGCUGGUUUUCAGCUUUAUGAAAUGUGCUCCUGUUGGUGGAAGGUUGUGUGCCUCCGGUGGAUUGAGGGAAAGAUAAUUGAUUCAGGGACAUAAAAUCAAGACAACUGGAUAGCCUCGUGAGGCUCUCAGAAGAAAGAAUCUAAAAGCAUAAGGGAGACAAAAUCAGGUUUACCUGGUGGCCACUGUGUCUGAGUAGAAACUGGUGGAUGAAUGAAGACAGCGUAACAAAGGCAGCCCACACAGGAGGAACCCAAAGAUAUGAUUAAGUGCUGUUUAGGCACAGAUUGACCAAAACCAGGGGCUACUGGAGAAAAACAAAAAUGAGCAUGACAUAAGAUUAAAAAUGUCAAAAAGUCCCACAGUGGUCUGCCUUUCCUCGGGGGAUUAUAAAGAACUGUAGCAGAACACCAGCCAAAAAUGGCAAAAGAAAGGCUGCAAAGAAAACUCAGGAAGCCCAGCCCACUGAAGAGGGAACUUUGGGGUCCAAUGCAUACUUGGUGAUGUGCCAGUCUGUGGACCCUCUUGUGGACCCCUAACCUUCCCCAUCUGCACAUAUGCACAUAAUAUAGAUUAAGUAAGUGAGGGUAGGAGAUCUUUGCCCAAAUUCCAUUAUCUUACACUGUAUCCCAGAAUUCCUGUUGGUUUUGAAGGAAAUAUAACUACUGUAAUGGAUCUAAAAAAUGCACAAAUGGUAUUCCGUAUCUGAAAAUUGUUCUAAUUAACUUUUGAUCUUUUGCCCAGUUAAAGACUUAAUUUUUUGUAAUGUCAGGUCUUGUUUAAACUAUAUCUUGUUUCUUCUCAUAAUAGAAAUUUGUCUUCAGUUUUGAUACCUAAUUGCUUUGAGGAUUUUAAUACCGAAUUUUUUUCUUUGUUUCUUUCUUUUUUUUUAAGGCGGGGGGAGGACAGUGGGAGAGAGAGAAUCUUAAGCAGGCUCCACCCCCAGCAUGGAGCCAGAUGUGCGACUCCAUGCAGGGCUCGAUCUUACAACCCUGAGAUUACGACCCUGAGAGCACAACCUGAGCCUCAACCAAGAGUCAGACGCUUAACCAACUAGUGACUCAGGGCAAGUCAGGAUUCUUACUCCAAGGGGCAGAUAUCUGUGCCAGACAGGCGAUGAAUGACUCUAGGCUCUGCUUACAACCCCUGGGCUUCGGGUUUCUGGACAGAACGUGUGCGACACUCAGUCCAGACAUGAAGGUGAUUUAGUGUGGUAGGACCACAGAAAAACCAGACGACCGUUCCUGUGUGGACCCACCUGGUCUCACUUCUGGACACAGACAAGUUCCUGAAAAGACAUGGUGUAAGCAUCUGUGGCCUGAGACAAAAAGCCUAAAGAUGAGUAUCUUCACUGGCUCUGUGGAGCUCGUGCCAGCAGCUGCAUCCGAGGCCAGAGCUCCCCAACCAGACAUCUUGGUCUCGAAGCACUUUGCUCUUCAACACCCUUGUAUCGAGCCUUUCCUAUGGGACAGGCCGACUAGCCUGGUCCCUGCUCCACCUGGGGAGGAGGCCGCUCUUUGGCCAAGUGAGGAGCUCCUGGCAUGGCACCCAGCAAAGGGCCAGAUGAUGUGGUUCCGGAGGCUAGAGACGAUUAUGCCCGCUUUACGGAGAAGGAGGCUAAGGAGCAAAUGCAGACCUGAGAUCACACCUGAGUCUGCAGACCGCAGAGCAUUUUCACCGUGCUGUUCCAGAUGGAAGGGUAAAGAUGAGGAACACAAUGGUGACAGUACUGGGGCCACUCAUGGGACCCAAGGCAGGGGACACAGGCCUUGUGGACUCUGGGUUGAACACCCUGAGGCCUGGUGGGAGGGGAAGUCAGGGCAGGGUGUGUGUAGUCCUUACUUUUAGCCGUCAGUGUCUUCAAUGAAUGAGGAAGAGAGAAGACAAUGUUAAAAGGACUCUCCCCACUUGCCACAUGCACACACGAUUUGUUAGGAUGUGAUUUGUGUGUGUGAUUUGAUAAUGGGGUCAAGAGGCUGCCCUGGCCACAGACUCUGCCUGCCCACCCCCUCCCCGGCUCCCCCUGCCUCCAAGGCUGGGCAUGAGGCUGCUGACUUGAACCCUUCGCCUCCUCUGCUCAUAAGCUAAGGGUUUAUCUCAUCUGCCCCAACAGCAAAGCCUGUUUGGGAGGGUUCUGGCUGCUCUGGCAAGCCUGCUUUCUCCCUUUCCUGGGCUGUUCCUGUCUCGGUCUCUCCUUUUUCUGCCUUCCUUCCCUCUUUGCCCUGUCUCUCCUUGUCUCUGUUUUGGAAGGAGUUCUCAGAAGACGCACGCACAUCCUCAUGGUCUUGAUUUCCUGUCCCCACUGUCCCUUUUCCUGCAUGCUUUUUGUUAGGUUCUUAACUCCUGGUGUUUUCAUCCUGUAUGUGUGACAUGGGGAGGAGAAGAGGACAGGGCAUAUUAGAAAGACUAGGCCGUGGGUGACCACUUUGUUAAAUGGAAGUGACAGUGAUGACCGACAUGGGAGAAAAGAGGACUCAGUCUGACUGUCUGCGGGUCCCUUCCUGCAAAGCUCGUCUGGCCGGGUGGGGCAGGGGAGGGGAUCGAAGGCUGGACUGCUACCCUGGCUAUACAGUCAGUGGGGAGGGAGCACCCCGUGGCUACAGGGAAGGUCAAGACCAAUGUCCCUCUCCAGCCGCUUCUGCUUAAGAAAUUCUGGAGUUGGGGAGUUGUCCGUGUUUGUGUAUUAAGGGGAGCCAGAGUUGCUGAAUUUUUUUUCUGGAUUUAUCUGAAGACUUGUACAAAAAAUACCAGUCUAGUUAAUCCCUUUUCAGCCCCCAAGGGCCUGAGGCCAUUUAGAACCUCCUGCUAGUGGUCAGCACUAGCGCGUUAUGGCCAAAGGGCCCUGACUGCUCGUUCUAGGCCUCUGCGUGGACCCCCACCCCUGACACACAACACGCACGGUGCUGGGUGGUGUCUAGCUACACAGCCCCCCCGUGCGUGUCUCAUCUGGUAUCCUAAUGAGGGAGGUCAACCCUUUCAGGGACCAGCGUGGCCCCUAAGGGUGAACCAAGUGCUACCAGGACAAGGGCAGAAUUUUCAAGGUGGGCUCUCCCCUUUACAAACUCUGCAGGGGCAAAUCGGGAUGAGCAAGGAGGUUCUGCUCACCAUGACAGAGCUCCACUAUUCCCUUGCUACAACAGGCCUGGCUCAUUCUUUCCCCCAUUCUGGAAAGGACACCCAGGAAGGCCUAUGUCUGGUGCAAUGGUUCAGCGGUCUGGGGAAGGAGCCAGCUUUUGCCGGGCCUUCGCCUUGAACCUAAUCCAGGCCUCAGUGCCGGGGAGUCACGAGAAGCCCAGCCUGGAGCUGGCAGAACCUUCCUGUGGCCAGGACUGACUGCUGAAUUAGCAUGCCCCCCUUUAAGCGCCGGGCCAGGGAGAGCCACAGAAGCAGAGGAGGUGUGAGGGGGCCUGCGAGGGAAGGAAACAUCACUGACGGAAGGUGCCUAGAGGGAGGGGCUAGUGGUCACAACGAGCCACGAGCCCCGGUUUCACACAGUGUCAUCGAAGAUCCACAUUCUACAGAUGUGAAGACUGAAGGCCGGGGAGGCGACUCACCCAGUCACACAGUUAAGAAGGGACAGGAUGGAACCUGUGUCUGACCCCCUCGUCAUCCUCCACACCACACAUACCUGGCAUGUGGCAGGUGCUUAAUGCACAUGGUCAGCAAAUAUGAGUGAAUGAACAGACGGACGAACGAAAGAACUGACCAACUGCCCAUGCUCGAAGUGGGCCUUGAGGGAUGACUGGGCUACAGGGGCGGAGAGGACCAGCAAGUGCAUUCCAGGCUGGGCAGAUGAGAUGAGCACGUGGGGCUGUGCCAGGCUGGGGGAAGAGAGCUGGCUGGAGCAGCAGGUGGGUGAUGCCUCAGUGGGGUCCUGGGAGGGGUCCUCCCCCCAGCCAACCUCCCAGGUCGUGGCUUCACUGGGCUCGCUGGGGAGGAAAUGGGUCUGUUCGGGGUGGGGGGAUGCUCAUGCUCACCUAGUACCUUUCCCCUGAAAUUAAACCCUUAGCCAUGUGGCCAAGGGAGGCUCACACCUACAGAAGAAGCUAAGAACGGGGACAACUACCUAGCCAAAAUUUGGGAGCAUUGGCUGUCAGCAUCGUCCCCACCAUCCGCACCACCUUCAUCACUGCCAUGGUCUCGGGCACCAUGGUCAUCACCAUGCCACCACGAAAUUCGGUGGUGAAGACUUUGGCCGGGGAAGCUUACUGGGUCUCUAGCCCGGUGCCAUCACGCACUAACCGGAUGAGCUUGGGCACACUUUACAAUCUGUCUAUGCCUCACGUUCCUCAUAAAAGGUCAUGCAUAUGAAGUUCUUAGCAUCCUGUUUGGCGCAUGGUGUCAGGAUAAGUUAGCUCUUGUUAUCACUGUUAUUAUUUUUAUCGUAAUGAGCCUUCCAAGUGGAGAUGUUGUGGUUACCGUAGCACCUGAUUGAGAGUGUGGGAAUGAGACUGACUCCUCCCCACUUUUCAGGCAAGGAAAAGGUUAAGACCUAAGAAGCAAACACACUUGUCCAGACGGCCCAGCUCCGGAACCUGGGCAGCCAGUGGGUGGGAAGCAACGUUCUGCCCCUCCCCGUGUGCCUGCCUCUUUCAUUCCUCCCCUCGGGCAGAGACCCCCAGCCUUUCCCUCUGGGUGCAGGCUCGGCUGAAAUGUACUCCAAAUUGUCCAUUAAAACACACUGCCACUUUAUGGUUUGUUUGCUCCUAAAGACGUGAAACGCAAGCUUAUCAAACAAAAGUCACACUUCGCCAUGCCACCUUGAGUGGUAAAUUCCAUCAUUAUUUGCGCCCUCCGGCCCCCACGAAGAACACUGAGUUCCCACCGGAGCUGGAGACGCGCUCCAAAGAUUGACCUUCGGCACCCCUCACCCCUUCAGCCAUGGGCCCAGUCACAAGGCAGGCGAGGUGGGGGCCAGACAGGUGGGGAAGAGCCCAGAGAUCCUGUCUACCCAGCGGGGCACCUUGCGUAAGUUUUUAAACUUCUCUGAGUGUUAAUAUCCUCAUCUGCACAAUGAACUUAAUGAUAGGAGCGUCCUCACUGGCUUGGGACAAGAAGUAAUCAAAUGAUACGUCAAAGCACUUAACCCCAUGCCUGGCCUCUGAGAAGAGCUCAACAUACUGUAGCCAAUAGAGAGAAGUUGUUGUAUUGUCUUCUGGGCGUUCAAACCACACCUUGGAUGUGGCACAAGCUGGAACUGGCCCAGGUUCUAGACAGACCAGGCUGGAGUCCCGGGAUGGGGUCAGGGAGGCGCAGAGGCAGGGCUGUGGGCAUUCGUCGGGAAAGAAAUUGGCAGUCUGUGACAAAAAGCAGGGCUCUAAGGGAGGUCAGCUCUCAUACUUUUUAUCCAAAACUCUGCUCGGUUGAGAGCUUCAGCCCGAUUGCCUCCAGCACCAGAAGCCCUCAUAGCGGGGAGGGAGAUUCUUUGCUGGGUCUGGAAGUGGGGGCUGGCCCACACAGCAGCUCUGCCCCAGGCUUUGGCCGGGCACUUCGGGGAAGAGAAAGUGUCAGGUAAGAUACAGCCCCUGACCUUUUGGAACUUCUGAUGUGGGGUGGUGGCCAUGAGGCUCGUUCGCUAUGUUUCCAUUACUCCUGCUUCUGAGCACACUAUAGGAUCACUUUCUUCUCUCCACACUUCUCCUCGCCCCCGGGUCCGGUGUGGCCAUGUGACUGCAUCAGCCUAUCAGAUGGGAGGAGUGACAGGCAGCACCUCCAGACGGAUGCUCGGAAGAGCUGAUGCCACACUCCCUUCCUCCCACCGUAACGACGGCAGCUGGGCGAGGCUCCAUCCGCCUGUGUCUUCGAAUGAAGAUGAUGGGGAGCACAGCCUCCCACACACCACGGUGGGCUUGCUGGCUGGGCCCGGGGCCACGCAGGUCUGAAGAAGCCGGGCACCGACCACGGUGGGGACAGAGGCCAGCCUCCAGGGGCAAGACUAGGUGGCUUCGUGCUGUCUGAUUAAUCAACACAGAGGAGGCACUUUCCCCCUGAUUCUGGGAUCCCUCAGAUGCCACGCCCAGCUGAGCUGUGAAGGCCCGGACCAAGCACAAUACAAUACCAUUUGUUACCUGUUCUACAUGCUGAUUCUGAUUCACCUCUUACCCCAUCCUCCACACACACACACACACACACACACACACACACACACACACACAGCCCAGCCAGUGACCCCUUCUCCUGUCUCUGACCUUGCUGAGCCCUUCGGAUUUGCCCUACCUGAUCAAUUACACUCUCCCCAGGCCCAGAGCCCCAGCAACACCUUGCAGUGGCCUUGGCCCUGGGCCCUCCAGCCCAUGCUGUCUGUCCUCCCACUCACCCUGAAUUUGGCAGGAAGCACAAAUACCAGUGCCAACGCAAUAUGACAAGGGGAACCAGAAAUGAGGAUUGAACAUUUGGCAGCUACAACAAAAAUUUAAACAAACAGAAGGUACCUUACUGAGUGUUGUCCUUCAGAACAUUCUUCCGGGGGGUGAUGCGCUUGAUCCCGAGAUGCUGUCCUGGGCCACACAGUUUCUGGAGUCAUCCGUGGGAGUCCUGAGUCAGCUGAUUCAGCAGCAACCAAGCCCUGCCACACAUUGGAGUAAAAAAUACAACACUCGAAUCCCCCUGCAGUUUGGGAGACAUGGACCCUGGAGGUGGGUUAUUUUGUAAGAGCCUCGGCCAGGGUUGAGCCUCGGCACCCCCACUUCUGGUGCAGUGUCUGGCCCGUGCUCAAGAGACGUUUCCUAUAGGUCUCGAGGAUGGCAUUGAUCGUCCUGCAUUUCUCCUGGUUAAAGACCCCAUUUCCUCAGAUGUGUUUUGUAAGUCUUUUGUAAGUCUUAAAAAUGUUUCAUUAAAGCAAAUGCUUAAAUACUGA